rnacentral:rRNA from 1 species
UUAGUGGCGGACGGUGAGUAACGCGUGGAAAACCUGCCGUAUACUGGGGGAUAACACUUAGAAAUAGGUGCUAAUACCGCAUAAGCGCACAGCUUCGCAUGAAGCGGUGUGAAAAACUCUGGUGGUAUACGAUGGUUCCGCGUCUGAUUAGCUAGUUGGUGGGGUAAUGGCCUACCAAGGCAACGAUCAGUAGCCGGCCUGAGAGGGUGAACGGCCACAUUGGGACUGAGACACGGCCCAAACUCCUACGGGAGGCAGCAG